UACAGAGGUCUCAAGCGUUGUUCGGAUUCAUUGGGCGUAAAGGGUGCGUAGGUGGCGCGGUAAGUCGGGUGUGAAAUUUCGGAGCUUAACUCCGAAACUGCAUUCGAUACUGCCGUGCUUGAGGACUGGAGAGGAGACUGGAAUUUACGGUGUAGCAGUGAAAUGCGUAGAUAUCGUAAGGAAGACCAGUGGCGAAGGCGGGUCUCUGGACAGUUCCUGACACUGAGGCACGAAGGCCAGGGGGAGCAAAACGGGG
rnacentral:rRNA from 1 species